AGUUAUUUGCAAAAAAUUGAGUUUCCUGGGUUUGACUUGCCAGGAAAUAAUAUGGGUCCUAUGAGUUUUACCUCAAUUUUGGGUGGGACUAACCAGCAGAUACCUGGGUUGGAGCUUGGUUUGUCACAGGAUGGCCAUAUUGGGGUUUUGAAUCCACAUACUUUGAGUCAGAUUUAUCAGCAGAUGGGGCAGCCUAGAGUGCAACAGCAACAGCAGCACCAGCAUCAACAGCAGAAUCCUGCCAAGGAUGAUUCUCAAGGGUCAGGGCAGUAAUAGCAGUUCAGAGUAGUCAUUCUUGAUGUUGAGAGACGCCGAGUGAUUUUUGUAAUGGUUUUUGUGUUGUAUAAUUGAUGAAAAAAAAUGUGAGAGAGAGACCCAAAAAAAAAAAAAAAAAGAGAUACUUAAGAAAAUUCAAUAGGGACUGGAUUUGGUUUGCCUCUUACUCUCUCCUUCAUCACUCUCCAUAUACAGGUGGAAUUGUGCACAGCCAAAUAGUUUGGGUUUGGGCUUAACUUCUUAUCUAAUUCAGAGAGGUGUGUUGGUUAUAGUGUAAGGCAUCUUUAAUUAUUUUGUUCUUAUCUUUGUCUGGAUGAAGCGGUGAUCAGUUUGUUUGUGAGAUUAAAUAGUGAUAUAGUUGUCCAAUUUUCAUU
rnacentral:misc_RNA from 1 species